ensembl:lncRNA
GCCUUGAUCAUGCAAGUGGAGAAACAUCCAGAGACAGACCAGACAAUGGAGUUGGUGAAUAGGAUCGCUGUGUCCAUCGGGUUGGGGUUCCUGACCCUGACCCUGCUGACCUUUGCCCUCUCUGGCCUGAACCCCAAAGUGACAAACACGCCUCGUGUGAACCUCUGUGUCUGUCUGCUGCUGUCUCACCUCCUCUUCCUGCUCGUCCAGGAGUUCAUCCACCUCAUCCGCCCUCACGAGGUCCUGUGCACGGUGCUAUCAGGAGUGCUUCACUUCCUGUUCCUGUGCUGUUUCGUGUGGAUGCUCCUGGAGACCAUCUGGCUUUUACAUUCAGUCCUCAGGC